rnacentral:lncRNA from 1 species
AACUAACAGGCUUCUGCGACACUUCAAAGCAAACUCAGAAUCCACCUUCUAUCUCCAAUACACAAUCCAAACUUCCAAAAUGAACCUGCAUAAUACACACAAAAAUAGCCAUUUUUAUUACAACCCUGUUUUGUUUUCCAGCACAUCACAGCAGUCCAUGUUUUGGUUACAAAAGCCAUAGUAGAAAUUGAAAAGAACAUAACAGGAUUCA